GUGCUCACUUUGGCAGCACAUAUACUAAAAUUGCAAUGAUACAGAGAAGAUUAUCAUGGCCUCUGUGCAAGGACAACAUAUAAAUUCAUGAAGAAUUCCAUAUUUUU
rnacentral:snRNA from 1 species